GAUGAACGCUGGCGGCGCGCCUAACACAUGCAAGUCGAACGGCUAAAGCAUCUUCGGAUGUGUAGAAAGUGGCGAACGGCUGAGUAACACGUGGGCAACCUGCCCUUUGCACUGGGAUAGCCUCGGGAAACCGAGGUUAAUACCGGAUACUCCAUAUUUGUCGCAUGGCGAAUAUGGGAAAGCUCCUGCGGCAAAGGAUGGGCCCGCGGCCUGUUAGCUAGUUGGUGGGGUAGUGGCCUACCAAGGCAAUGAUGGGUAGCCGGGUUGAGAGACCGACCGACCAGAUUGGGACUGAGACACGGCCCAGACUCCUACGGGAGGCAACACUGGGGAAUCUUGCACAGUGGGCGAAAGCCUGAUGCAUCGACGCCACGUGCGGGAAGAAGGCCUUCGGGUUGUAAACCGCUUUCAGCAAGGACGACGCCGCGAGGUGACCGUACCUGCAAAAGAAACCACGGCUAACUACGUGCCAUCAGCCGCGGUACUACAUCGGGGGCAAGAGUUAUCCGGAUUCAUUGGGCGUAAAGCGCGCGUAAGCGGUCUGUUAGGUCAGGAGUUAAAUCUGGGGGCUCAACCCCUAUCCGCUCCUGAUACCGGCAGGCUUGAGUCUGGUAGGGGAAGAUGGAAUUCCAAGUGUAGCGGUGAAAUGCGCAGAUAUUUGGAAGAACACCGGUGGCGAAGGCGGUCUUCUGGGCCAUGACUGACGCUGAGGCGCGAAAGCUAGGGGAGCGAACAGGAUUAGAUACCCUGGUAGUCCUAGCUGUAAACGAUGGACACUAGGUGUGGGGAGAUUAUACUUUCCGUGCCGCAGCUAACGCAUUAAGUGUCCCGCCUGGGGAGUACCGUCGCAAGACUAAAACUCAAAGGAAUUGACGGGGGCCCGCACAAGCAGCGGAGCAUGUGGCUUAAUUCGAAGCAACGCGAAGAACCUUACCAGGGCUUGACAUUUAGGUGAAGCAGUGGAAACACUGUGGCCGAAAGGAGCCUAAACAGGCGGUGCAUGGCUGUCGUCAGCUCGCGUCGUGAGAUGUUGGGUUAAGUCCCGCAACGAGCGCAACCCUUGUCGCAUGUUGCCAGCGGUUCGGCCGGUCACCCUUGCGAGUACCGUCGGUGUUAAUCCGGAGGAAGGUGGGGACGACCUCAACGCAUUAUGCCCCCUUAUGUCUCGGGCCGCACACGCGCCUACAUGGCUGGCACAGAGGGCUGCCCCUGCUCGAGCAUAAACUAAUUCCUAAAGCCGGGCCUCAUUCCGUAUUGGCAGUUUCUACUCGCCCCUCUUGAAGUUUGGACUUGUUAUUAUUUUUCGGAUCACGUCUGCCGCGGUUAUAUGCUUCUCGGGGCCU
rnacentral:rRNA from 1 species